CUUAUCAAUAAGCGGAGGAAAAGAUACCAACAGGGAUUGCCCUAGUAACGGCGAGUGAACAGGCAAGAGCUCAGAUUUGAAAGGCACUUUUGUGCCGUUGUAUUCUGAAGUUAGGGUCCUGAGAAACGAUGCUUAAGUCUUCUGGAAAGGAGCGCCAUGGAGGGUGAUAGCCCCGUCUAGCAUUGACCUCAUAUAGGAUCUUAACAUGGAGUCGAGUUGUUUGGGAAUGCAGCUCAAAUGGGUGGUAUGCUCCAUCUAAAGCUAAAUAUCUGCGAGAGACCGAUAGUAAACAAGUACUGUGAGGGAAAGAUGAAAAGAACUUUGAAAAGAGAGUGAAAAAGUACGUGAAAUUGUUGAAAUGGAAGGGUAGGCCGCUAACCAUGUAGAGCCGUGUUUGGGGGGAAGAUAAAUGCUGUAGAAUGUAGCUCCUCGGAGUAUUAUAGAUGCAGUUCAUAUUCCCACCCGAGUCGCGAGGAUCUCAGGUUUAUACUAUAUGGUGGUAUCCACUGUCU
rnacentral:rRNA from 1 species